CACUUCCGUUGCCGAGAUGCUUGUCUGCGACGGAUGCCCGAAAGAGACAAACUUUGCUGCCUGGCUCAAGGCAGUUUAAAUGUGAAGAACGUGAGUCUUCUAUGUUGCACACUCCUCCAGCGCUCUCUGCUGCUGAAGUGCAGAGCCUCGUUCCCAUAGACAGCAAAGCCCAACACUCCAAGGAAGAACAUCCGCACUGAGCCGAAGAAGAGAGUGUGGAACUGGCCGAUCACGGAUUCCACGAGCGGGUGAAGGGAUUGCGCUGUAUAUGCAUCACUUGGGGUGCUAGACGGCAUAUAGAUUUGGAGCUCAUCAGCAGCCAUCUUAUCAGACUUAAGGCCCACUCGACAAGAGAGAGCUGGAGUGAAGCUGAGCAAAGCCCCAGGAUUUAUGGACUGCUACACCCAGGGUAUAACUUCCGAUUGCUGGUGGCAGAUCGUGGAGUAAGAUUGCUCUGGACUUCUCAGCUGCUCCUGGAUGAACUAGAUAGAGCUCAGGUGUGUUGGUACUGGUAACCAGUGGUCCUCUGAUUGUCCUGGGAGGAAACUGUAGCAUUGCUGGGAGCAGGGAAAGAUGGAGUCCCUGUUUGUGGCUGCUUAGACAUAGGAAAAGGAUACCACACUAAUUGGGACUUAUGAGGACUAGAAAUGACGGGUUGAUUCUCAAAUGCCUCAUGUUUAUUAUGAUUUUACUUACAUUUUUCAGGUAUUUUGGACAGUCUAUUUUUUUGUACUAUUGACGUCUGCAUGUGAUCCCCAUGGGUCUGCUGGCUUCAGUUACCUCCACAUUGUUUUUUAAAAGGGAAAAUACUUUGCACUAUUGUCUGAAUGUUCGUAUCCCUCCAAUAUUCAUAUGUGGACACUUAAUCAGUAUCAGGUAGUAUAGAUAGGACCUUGAAAUGAUGAGUAGGUCACAAGAGACAAGGCAAUAAUACUCUUAUUAAAGAAGAGUAUCAGUCUCUAAUACCGUAUGAGAAUACAGAGGGAUAAUCUAGUGCAUGAUAUUUUGUUAUCAUAGCAAAGUUGACUAAUAUAUUCAGAGAGGAUUGACAAGGCACAAUUUAAAAGAUGCCCUGAUUCCACAGAGAUAUACCCCCCAAUAUAUUAAUAGAAUAUAACUUAUCAGUGUAUUAAACAAGAGUGCUUUUAUGUAACAAUUAAUGAACCUAGGUUGUAAUAGUACAGACCACACAGAGACCAUACAUUAGGACUCAUUCUUAGUGGCUUGUGUUAUAUACAUUGGGCAUGGUUAUUGUUAUGGUAUUAUUGUACAGAUUAUUUUUUAACUAACCUAAAAUCCUCUGUACUUUGAAUAUUCAGAUUUCACCUCACCCCAAAACUGGCAGCCACUGGCAUCUGCAUCUUUAUUGCCUCUGGUUUUGCCCUUUGAAGAAUGUGCUAUGCUUAGAAUAAUAUGGCUGCAUCCUUCUCAGGUUACCUAUGUUCACCUAGCUAUAUGUAUCUGGAUCUUUUCACAGGUUAGAGCUUAAUUUUUGCAUUGAAUACCAUCCAUAGUUCGGUCUAUCAUAGUUUACUUUUGUCCCAUUGACUUGUAGAAAGACAUCUUGACUGUUUCCAAAAUUUGACAAUAGUAAGUCCUAUGUAUGCAUCCAUGGGCAGGUGUGUGUGUGUGUG
rnacentral:sRNA from 1 species